UUUUCUUCCCCCAAAUCUUUCCCUCCUCCCUCCCUCCACCCCACCGACCACCACCCACCAGCUGAGCAGAGUCGACCACUGCCACCGGUACAGCUUCCACCGCACAGAGAAGACGACCCAGCCAUCAAAAGAGGCUGCUUUGCUUCCAUACUUGGCUGCGCGAGAGCUUCAAUCUAUAGACCGUUCUCCACACCCUUCUCAUCAGAGAAGUUGAGGAUCUUUAUAAAGAUGUUUCCUGUAGUGUAAGAAUUGUUUGUUUGAAUCUGCAUAUAUUUAAGGUGCGUAGUCCUCUUGUGGUUUGAAGUAGAGGGAAGCCACCAUCAACAAGGAAGAUGUCUGAAGUAGAGAAAGUGGUGGUGAAGAAGUCUAAGAGAAAGAAAGAAUCAACCAAAUGACACAAAUGACAAGAGUCGCCUAGUGCGAGGAAGAAAAACGUCUAAUUAGACAUAUGCUUGAGGCCUUUAAUUAUGCUUGUUUGAAUAUUUUUUAAAUGCUUUCACUAACAAGUUUGUAUUGUUUUAUUAAUGGUAGACUUCCCAAGGAAAUGCUAUUGUGGACACAAAUGAAGCUUUGUUGCCUCCCCUAACUAAUACUCAACAUGACAAUGUAAUUGGAACUCAAAAUAGUGUAAUUACUUAGAUAUUACAAGAGAAAA